CGCCCGCCUCCGCCUCCCAAAGUGCUGGGAUCGCAGGCGUGAGCCGCCGCGCCCGGCCUUGGCCAUUGUUCUUUCAGGCAGUAUUUUAGCUGUCCUUCGGCGCAGUUGAAGAUUCUGUAACUGGGCGUUUGCCAUUCAAAAUAGGUAGAGUUGCACAUUCAAGAGGGAAACAGUCCUGAGGCAUUCUCACAGAUAAAGGUCCUCGUGGUUCAACAAGAAUGAUAUCCAGAUUGUGCUUCAGAAGUGCUUUGGGUCCACCACCUACUGCAUUUGUGUCACAAUCCCAUUUUCUGCUAAAUAGGGUCUCAGAAUUUUACCCAUUGUGAGUAUUCAAGACAAACUAAAUAAAUGAUCUCAAAAGCAUUUGCACCAAUAUCGGCUUUUCAUUUAGGGCUUAACCAUUAGAAUAGAAAGUCAAAUAAGUGCUGGUUAUCCAGGGACUCCAAAGGCUGAGGAAGAAGGAUCACUUGAGCCCAGGGUUUAGAGGCUACAGUGAGCCAGGAUUGUGCCACUGCACUGCACCUAGGCAACAUAGCAAGACUCCAACUCAAAAAAAAAAAAAAAAAGAGAGACAGAUGGGGUGCUAUGGCUCAUGCCUGUAAUUUCAGCAUUUUGGGAGGCCGAGGAGGGUGGAUCGCAUGGUCAAGAGAUCUAGACCACCCUGGCCAACAUGGUGAAACCCUGUCUCUACUAAAAAUAGAAAAAUUAGCUGAGUGUGAUGGCAGGUGUCUGUAGUCCCCACUAUUCAGGAGGCUGAGGCAGGAGAAUCACUUGAACCUGGG
rnacentral:lncRNA from 10 species